GACGCGGUAGCGCAGUGGUUAAGUCGGCAUGACUUGGGAUCAAGAGAUCCUGAGUACGAGUCCUUGCCGCGGCC